CCUACGGGAGGCUGCAGUCGAGAAUCAUUCACAAUGGGGGAAACCCUGAUGGGGCGACGCCGCGUGGGGGAAUGAAGGUCUUCGGAUUGUAAACCCCUGUCAUGUGGGAGCAAAUUAAAAAGAUAGUACCACAAGAGGAAGAGACGGCUAACUCUGUGCCAGCAGCCGCGGUAAUACAGAGGUCUCAAGCGUUGUUCGGAAUCACUGGGCGUAAAGCGUGCGUAGGCUGUUUCGUAAGUCGUGUGUGAAAGGCGCGGGCUCAACCCGCGGACGGCACAUGAUACUGCGAGACUAGAGUAAUGGAGGGGGAACCGGAAUUCUCGGUGUAGCAGUGAAAUUCGUAGAUAUCGAGAGGAACACUCGUGGCGAAGGCGGGUUCCUGGACCUUAACCGACGCUGAGGCACGAAGGCCAGGGGAGCGAAAGGGAUUAGAUACCCUAGUAGUC
rnacentral:rRNA from 1 species